rnacentral:lncRNA from 1 species
AAAAAAACCCAAGGUAUUAAAUGCUUUGCAUUUUGUGUGCUGGAGGAAACGAGAGCACGGCACAGACGUCCCGCAGUCCGCAGCAGCUCCGACCCGCCAGGCAGUGAGCAUCGCCCGGUCACCUCCCCAUGGAUCUUUUUUUUCCCCCUGCAAUGAUUUUGAUUUCAAAGCAAGAGAAUGGUGGUGUUCGUUGUUUUUUUGGGACGGUGCACAACAAUGUGGAAGUGUUUCCGUUCCCAGGUUAUUGCUGCUGGUAUCUCCCCGGCUCUGAGACGCAGAGCUGGCAGAGCUGAUGGCUGCGCAUAACGCUAUUAAAGUGUCACAGGUUUUUCUGGGAAAAGUCCAAAUUCAGCCCAUCUUCAAAACCGCCUCUUUAACCUUUUC